rnacentral:rRNA from 1 species
UACGUAGGGUGCGAGCGUUGUCCGGAAUUAUUGGGCGUAAAGAGCUCGUAGGCGGCUUGUCACGUCGGGUGUGAAAGCCCGGGGCUUAACCCCCGGGUCUGCAUUCGAUACGGGCUAGCUAGAGUGUGGUAGGGGGAGAUCGGAAUUCCUGGUGUAGCGGUGAAAUGCGCAGAUAUCAGGAGGAACACCGGUGGCGAAGGCGGAUCUCUGGGCCAUUACUGACGCUGAGGAGCGAAAGCGUGGGGAGCGAACAGG